GCUCGGGUAGUUUAGUUAGAACAUAACGUUGAAGGUGUUAAAGCAGACAUUAGUCUCUUGGGCG
rnacentral:tRNA from 1 species